GACGAACGCUGGCGGCGUGCUUAACACAUGCAAGUCGAACGGAAAGGCCCUGCUUUGGUGGGGUGCUCGAGUGGCGAACGGGUGAGUAACACGUGAGUAACCUGCCCUUGACUUUGGGAUAACUUCAGGAAACUGGGGCUAAUACCGGAUAGGAGCUCCUGCUGCAUGGUGGGGGUUGGAAAGUUUCGGCGGUUGGGGAUGGACUCGCGGCUUAUCAGCUUGUUGGUGGGGUAGUGGCUUACCAAGGCUUUGACGGGUAGCCGGCCUGAGUGGGUGACCGGCCACAUUGGUACUAAGGUGCGGCCCAGUCUGCUACGGGAGACAACAGUGGGGAGUAUUGCACAAUGGGCGGAAGCCUGAUGCAGCAACGCCGCGUGCGGGAUGACGGCCUGGAGGUUGUAAACCGCUUUCGCCUGUGACGAAGCGUGAGUGACGGUAAUGGGUAAAGAAGCACCGGCUAACUACGUG
rnacentral:rRNA from 1 species